CUAAUACCGGAUAAGAAAGCAGAUCGCAUGAUCAGCUUUUAAAAAGGACGGCGUAAAGCUGUCGCUAUGGGGAUGGCCCCGCGGUGCAUUAGCUAGUUGGUAAGGUAAAGGGCUUUACCAAGGCGAUGAUGCAUAGCCCGAGUUGAGAGACUGAUUGGCCACAUUGGGGACUGAGACACGGGCCCAAACUCCUACGGGAGGCAGCAGUAGGGAAUCUUCCACAAUGGACGCAAGUCUGAUGGAGCAAACGCCGCGUGAGUGAAGAAGGUUUUCGGAUCGUAAAAAGCUCUGUUGUUGGUGAAGAAGGAUAGAGGUAGUAACUGGCCCUUUAUUUGACGGUAAUCAACCCAGAAAGUCACGGGCUAACUACGUGCCCAGCAGCCGCGGUAAAU
rnacentral:rRNA from 1 species